GAUGAACGCUGGCGGCGUGCUUAACACAUGCAAGUCGAACGGUGAACGAGGGAGCUUGCUCCCUCCUGAUCAGUGGCGAACGGGUGAGUAACACGUGAGCAAUCUGCCCUGGACUCUGGGAUAAGCGUUGGAAACGACGUCUAAUACCUGAUACGAGGCGUGGGGGCAUCCCCAACGCCUGGAAAGAACUUCGGUCCAGGAUGAGCUCGCGGCCUAUCAGCUAGUUGGUGAGGUAACGGCUCACCAAGGCGACGACGGGUAGCCGGCCUGAGAGGGUGACCGGACACACUGGGACUGAGACACGGCCCAGACUCCUACGGGAGGCAGCAGUGGGGAAUAUUGCACAAUGGGCGCAAGCCUGAUGCAGCAACGCCGCGUGAGGGACGACGGCCUUCGGGUUGUAAACCUCUUUUAGCAGGGAAGAAGCGAAAGUGACGGUACCUGCAGAAAAAGCACCGGCUAACUACGUGCCAGCAGCCGCAGUAAUAC
rnacentral:rRNA from 1 species